AUUGAACGCUGGCGGCAGGCCUAACACAUGCAAGUCGAGCGAGCGGCGGACGGGGGAGUAAUGUCUGGGAAACUGCCUGAUGGAGGGGGAGAACUACUGGAAAAGGUAGAGAAUACCGCAUACAAUCAGAGGUGCCCAGAUGGGCUUAGCUAGUAGGGGGGGUAAUGGCUCACCUAGGCGACGAUCCCUAGCUGGUCUGAGAGGAUGACCAGCCACACUGGAACUGAGACACGGUCCAGACUCCUACGGGAGGCAGCAGUGGGGAAUAUUGCACAAUGGGCGCAAGCCUGAUGCAGCCAUGCCGCGUGUAUGAAGAAGGCCUUCGGGUUGUAAAGUACUUUCAGCGAGGAGGCGUUACUCGCAGAAGAAGCACCGGCUAACUCCGUGCCAGCAGCCGCGGUAAUUC
rnacentral:rRNA from 1 species